GGGUAUUUAUGGGUUUGUAUUAGAGCGGUGGUGGUGGUGGUUUUGGGGGGUGGACAGGGACGCCCGAAACGAAAUCAAAACUGCAGCCGAUUUGCGCGGCCACGUCGAGCGAUCUCGCCGGCCACCCCGCUUCCACCGUCGCCUCGGAAACGUAGCAACACGUGGGGGCGAUCCGCUCCCUUCCACGUCGCCGCCCCCGUCGCCCCCGCGAUCCGCGAACCCCCCCCUCUCGGUUCCUCCCCUUGUAUUCGGAUGCAUCCCUUCUGCUGCGCCCCGACGGUCCCCGUCUCCCCCGCUGCCGCUGCCCCGCCCCCCUCCCCUCCUCUAUGCCCCCGCCGCCGGCGCCCCCGUCCGGUCCAACUCGGCC
rnacentral:lncRNA from 1 species